CCUACGGGAGGCAGCAGUGGGGAAUAUUGCACAAUGGGCGAAAGCCUGAUGCAGCAACGCCGCGUGAAGGAAGAAGGGUUUCGGCUCGUAAACUUCUAUCAACCGGGACGAAAGAAAUGACGGUACCUGAAUAAGAAGCCUCGGCUAACUACGUGCCCGCAGCCGCGGUAAUACGUGGGGGGCAAGCGUUAUCCGGAAUUACUGGGUGUAAGGGGUGAGUAGGGGGCAUGGUAAGCCAGAGUGAAAAGCCUUGGGCUAAACCGAGGAUUGCAUUUGGAACUAGCCAGCUAGGGUACCAGAGAGGAAAGCGGAAUUCCUAGUGUAGCGGUGAAAUGCGUAGAUAUUAGGAAGAACACCGGUGGCGAAGGCGGCUUACUGGACUGUAACUGACGUUGAGGCUCGAAGGCGUGGGGAGCAAACAGGAUUAGAUACCCUGGUAGUC
rnacentral:rRNA from 1 species